CAAACCUUUCAAAAUGUUACAAUAAGGACCGAAUGGACGAAUUCCAUCUAUAUUUCUGUUAGUUGAUCGAAAAAAUGGACUUUAACCACAUUUUAAUCAAUUAUAAAGGGACAAAAUAGUCACUUUAUAUUUUUCACAUUAAAAAAUAAUAAUAAUAAAAAGAAGAAAACAAAAUAAAAAGGAAAACAAAAUCUUCUUCUCCCCCACCUUCACCCCAACCCCUACGCCUAUCCCAAAAUCUGAAAUUCACCGUCACCGUCACCGUCACCGCCAUCUGCUACCAGUCCUUUGGUGCCAAUGGCCUUGGUCAACUCUCCCACAGCAACCAGAAUUCGAUUUGGUAGGACCCUAUUAACAACAUCGACGAUAAAUUUGAAGGCAAAAUCUAAUAAGGAAUCGUCGGCAAGAACUGCCACAUCCUCCUCGAAAUACUUUAUGGUUAGUUGGCUUUCACGAUGAAGAUCAUCGUCAUCCAUACAGGGUAAAUCAUCGUGUCAUCGUGAAUAAGUGACAUAGUAUAGAUCAUUUCCCCAUGCAAGCAGUAGGUAUGGCAGCAGACUUGUGGCCUCGCCCCAGCUCAUAGGCGGCGAUACGUAACAUCAGGCACAUCCCUCUUGCCACCUGCCAACAAAGAAUAGCGCAUUGCUUGUUGGAUCUCUAGCGGCUUCUUUAUCGAAACUGCUUCAUCUAAUGCCUUGUUCACAUUAUUGGUCUUUUCAAUCAUGUAUUCCUUGAAAUUGAAGGUGGGUUGUUCCUUCUGUGUCCCAAUUGUUUCUUCUUCUUUGAUGAUGAUGGCUGAUACAGUGAAUGAAGAAAUGGAUUAGGAAUUGGGGUGGGAGAGGUCGUGGUGACGGCGGAUUUCCUAUUUUGGGGGUUUGUGUGGGGGUGAAGGUGGGGGAGAAGAAGAUUUUG
rnacentral:lncRNA from 1 species